AAUUGUUUAUGUGAGGAAACGGGAAAUAGGUAAAAUCCUAUGCUGCCCCCGCAACGGUAAUUGAUAGCUUUUUAAAUAAGCACUGUCCUUUAAUAUAACCACUGUAACUUCAAGUUAUGGGAAGGUAAAGAUAACAGAUCAUAAGCCCGGAGACCGCCCUUCAUAUCUA
rnacentral:ncRNA from 1 species